AUUGAACGCUGGCGGCAUGCUUUACACAUGCAAGUCGAACGGUAACAGGCCGCAAGGUGCUGACGAGUGGCGAACGGGUGAGUAAUGCAUCGGAACGUGCCCAGGCGUGGGGGAGAAUGUAGCGAAAGCUGUGCUAAUACCGCAUACGAACUAUGGAUGAAAGCGGGGGACCGUAAGGUGUCGCGCGAUUGGAGCGGCCGAUGUCAGAUUAGCUAGUUGGUGGGGUAAAGGCCCACCAAGGCGACGAUCUGUAGCUGGGCUGAGAGGACGACCAGCCACAAUGGGAAGCAGACGCGGGCCAGGCUCCUACAGGAGGCAGCAGUGGGGAAAAUUUAGCAGUGGGUGCAAGACUGACGAAGUAACGCCGCGUGGAGGAUGAAGGCCCCCGCGGUCGUAAGCUCGUGUCUAGCGGGACGAAGGUGUACCUGAGUAAUACGCUGGUAUAUUGGCUGUACCGCUGGAGGAAGCGCCGGCCAACUCCGUGCCAGCCGCCGCAGUAAUAC
rnacentral:rRNA from 1 species